rnacentral:rRNA from 3 species
AGAAGCGCAUACGGUGGAUGCCUUGGCAGUCAGAGGCGAUGAAAGACGUGGUAGCCUGCGAAAAGCUUCGGGGAGUCGGCAAACAGACUUUGAUCCGGAGAUCUCUGAAUGGGGGAACCCACCUAGGAUAACCUAGGUAUCUUGUACUGAAUCCAUAGGUGCAAGAGGCGAACCAGGGGAACUGAAACAUCUAAGUACCCUGAGGAAAAGAAAUCAACCGAGAUUCCCUUAGUAGUGGCGAGCGAACGGGGAUUAGCCCUUAAGCUUCAUUGAUUUUAGCGGAACGCUCUGGAAAGUGCGGCCAUAGUGGGUGAUAGCCCCGUACGCGAAAGGAUCUUUGAAGUGAAAUCGAGUAGGACGGAGCACGAGAAACUUUGUCUGAACAUGGGGGGACCAUCCUCCAAGGCUAAAUACUACUGACUGACCGAUAGUGAACCAGUACCGUGAGGGAAAGGCGAAAAGAACCCCGGAGAGGGGAGUGAAAUAGAACCUGAAACCGUAUGCGUACAAGCAGUGGGAGCCUACUUGUUAGGUGACUGCGUACCUUUUGUAUAAUGGGUCAGCGACUUAUAUUCAGUGGCAAGCUUAACCGUAUAGGGUAGGCGUAGCGAAAGCGAGUCUUAAUAGGGCGUUUAGUCGCUGGGUAUAGACCCGAAACCGGGCGAUCUAUCCAUGAGCAGGUUGAAGGUUAGGUAACACUGACUGGAGGACCGAACCCACUCCCGUUGAAAAGGUAGGGGAUGACUUGUGGAUCGGAGUGAAAGGCUAAUCAAGCUCGGAGAUAGCUGGUUCUCCUCGAAAGCUAUUUAGGUAGCGCCUCAUGUAUCACUCUGGGGGGUAGAGCACUGUUUCGGCUAGGGGGUCAUCCCGACUUACCAAACCGAUGCAAACUCCGAAUACCCAGAAGUGCCGAGCAUGGGAGACACACGGCGGGUGCUAACGUCCGUCGUGAAAAGGGAAACAACCCAGACCGCCAGCUAAGGUCCCAAAGUUGUGGUUAAGUGGUAAACGAUGUGGGAAGGCUUAGACAGCUAGGAGGUUGGCUUAGAAGCAGCCACCCUUUAAAGAAAGCGUAAUAGCUCACUAGUCGAGUCGGCCUGCGCGGAAGAUGUAACGGGGCUCAAACCACACACCGAAGCUGCGGGUGUCACGUAAGUGACGCGGUAGAGGAGCGUUCUGUAAGCCUGUGAAGGUGAGUUGAGAAGCUUGCUGGAGGUAUCAGAAGUGCGAAUGCUGACAUGAGUAACGACAAUGGGUGUGAAAAACACCCACGCCGAAAGACCAAGGGUUCCUGCGCAACGUUAAUCGACGCAGGGUUAGUCGGUUCCUAAGGCGAGGCUGAAAAGCGUAGUCGAUGGGAAACAGGUUAAUAUUCCUGUACUUCUGGUUACUGCGAUGGAGGGACGGAGAAGGCUAGGCCAGCUUGGCGUUGGUUGUCCAAGUUUAAGGUGGUAGGCUGAAAUCUUAGGUAAAUCCGGGGUUUCAAGGCCGAGAGCUGAUGACGAGUCGUCUUUUAGAUGACGAAGUGGUUGAUGCCAUGCUUCCAAGAAAAGCUUCUAAGCUUCAGGUAACCAGGAACCGUACCCCAAACCGACACAGGUGGUCGGGUAGAGAAUACCAAGGCGCUUGAGAGAACUCGGGUGAAGGAACUAGGCAAAAUGGCACCGUAACUUCGGGAGAAGGUGCGCCGGCUAGGGUGAAGGAUUUACUCCGUAAGCUCUGGCUGGUCGAAGAUACCAGGCCGCUGCGACUGUUUAUUAAAAACACAGCACUCUGCAAACACGAAAGUGGACGUAUAGGGUGUGACGCCUGCCCGGUGCCGGAAGGUUAAUUGAUGGGGUUAGCGCAAGCGAAGCUCUUGAUCGAAGCCCCGGUAAACGGCGGCCGUAACUAUAACGGUCCUAAGGUAGCGAAAUUCCUUGUCGGGUAAGUUCCGACCUGCACGAAUGGCGUAACGAUGGCGGCGCUGUCUCCACCCGAGACUCAGUGAAAUUGAAAUCGCUGUGAAGAUGCAGUGUAUCCGCGGCUAGACGGAAAGACCCCGUGAACCUUUACUGUAGCUUUGCACUGGACUUUGAGCCUGCUUGUGUAGGAUAGGUGGGAGGCUUUGAAGCGUGGACGCCAGUUCGCGUGGAGCCAUCCUUGAAAUACCACCCUGGCAUGCUUGAGGUUCUAACUCUGGUCCGUAAUCCGGAUCGAGGACAGUGUAUGGUGGGCAGUUUGACUGGGGCGGUCUCCUCCUAAAGAGUAACGGAGGAGUACGAAGGUGCGCUCAGACCGGUCGGAAAUCGGUCGCAGAGUAUAAAGGCAAAAGCGCGCUUGACUGCGAGACAGACACGUCGAGCAGGUACGAAAGUAGGUCUUAGUGAUCCGGUGGUUCUGUAUGGAAGGGCCAUCGCUCAACGGAUAAAAGGUACUCCGGGGAUAACAGGCUGAUACCGCCCAAGAGUUCAUAUCGACGGCGGUGUUUGGCACCUCGAUGUCGGCUCAUCACAUCCUGGGGCUGAAGCCGGUCCCAAGGGUAUGGCUGUUCGCCAUUUAAAGUGGUACGCGAGCUGGGUUUAGAACGUCGUGAGACAGUUCGGUCCCUAUCUGCCGUGGACGUUUGAGAUUUGAGAGGGGCUGCUCCUAGUACGAGAGGACCGGAGUGGACGAACCUCUGGUGUUCCGGUUGUCACGCCAGUGGCAUUGCCGGGUAGCUAUGUUCGGAAAAGAUAACCGCUGAAAGCAUCUAAGCGGGAAACUUGCCUCAAGAUGAGAUCUCACUGGGAACUUGAUUCCCCUGAAGGGCCGUCGAAGACUACGACGUUGAUAGGCUGGGUGUGUAAGCGUUGUGAGGCGUUGAGCUAACCAGUACUAAUUGCCCGUGAGGCUUGACC